AAGUCGUAACAAGGUUUCCGUAGGUGAACCUGCGGAAGGAUCAUUACAUUCAGUAGCCUAGCUGCUUGUUUACACCCUUGUUUUUUUGCGCACUUCAUUGUAUCCCUCGGCGGGCUUGCUCGCCGGUUGGACAACAUUUAUAACCUUUUUUAAUCUUCAAUCAGCGUCUGAAUUAUAUUUAAUAAUUACAACUUUCAACAACGGAUCUCUUGGUUCUG
rnacentral:misc_RNA from 1 species